ACGGGUGAGUAACACAUCGGAACGUGCCCUAUCGUGGGGGAUAACGAAUCGAAAGAUUCGCUAAUACCGCAUACGACCUGAGGGUGAAAGCGGGGGAUCGCAAGACCUCGCGCGAUUGGAGCGGCCGAUGUCGGAUUAGCUAGUUGGUGAGGUAAAGGCUCACCAAGGCGACGAUCCGUAGCUGGUCUGAGAGGACGACCAGCCACACUGGGACUGAGACACGGCCCAGACUCCUACGGGAGGCAGCAGUGGGGAAUUUUGGACAAUGGGGGCAACCCUGAUCCAGCCAUUCCGCGUGAGUGAAGAAGGCCUUCGGGUUGUAAAGCUCUUUCGGCAGGAACGAAACGGUGGAGGCUAAUACCUUUCAUCAAUGACGGUACCUGAAGAAGAAGCACCGGCUAACUACGUGCCAGCAGCCGCGGUAAUACGUAGGGUGCGAGCGUUAAUCGGAAUUACUGGGCGUAAAGCGUGCGCAGGCGGCUUUGUAAGACAGGUGUGAAAUCCCCGGGCUUAACCUGGGAACUGCGCUUGUGACUGCAAGGCUUGAGUGUGGCAGAGGGGGGUGGAAUUCCACGUGUAGCAGUG
rnacentral:rRNA from 1 species